GGAACCAUUGGGUGGAACCAAAUUUGAUUAAAACAUCUCAGGGCCUAACAUUGCAUAACACUGGCAGUGUUGAGGUCGUCGGUUCGAUCCCGUCUGGCUCCACCA
rnacentral:tRNA from 1 species